AAAUCCGGCCAUGCUGUAGCCUUUGUUGAAGUGUUUAAAUAGUCUUUUCCACAGACACGCAAGUUUUCCUUGACAAGUUUUCUUGACAUAUUUUUCUUGACAAUUUUUCCUUGAAACGUUUUCCUUGACACGUUUCACACCUAUAUAGGAAGAGGGAAAAAAGGCAAAAAAAGAGGAAAUGGACGAAGCUAUAGGGAAGAAUAAAAGACGGAUGUUGGGAAAUAUCAAGUUUAUCGGAGAAUUAUUUAAACUAAAGGUAAGUUGGUUCAAAUAUAUGGCCACUUUUGGUUUCAGAAAUGUUUCGGGUUUUUCCACAAAUUUAUUUGAAUCAAUAAUGCAUAAUGAAUAGCUAUAUAUGUUGAAUUUAUAUCGAUACAUUUAUAUCGAUACAUAAUUAAUAAUACUUAAUUGUAUUAGAUACGACACUGGAGCGACAGAAGAAUGGCAGUGAUUCAAACGGCCCACCAAAUACAAUGUUAUUGACAAGAUUGUGGCGCAUUAAAUUUGCUAGCGAAACCAAAUAAAAUUAAAAACAAAUAAGUUUAUUUUUAAACUAGAAGUUACUAUCGCAAGGGAAGUGCUGCCUUACGACCCAAAGUCUUGGGGAUUGAUUAUACCAAAAAACUUCAUUUAUUUAAAUUUCCUUAUACAG